rnacentral:SRP_RNA from 1 species
GCCGGGUGAGGUGGCUCACACCUGUAAUCCCAGCACUUUGGGAGGCCGAGGUGGGUGGAUCACCUGAGGUCAGGAGUUCGAGACCAGCCUGGCCAACAUGGUGAAACCCCGUCUCUA